rnacentral:lncRNA from 1 species
GGUUGCUUGGUGAUUUAAACUUAAAACUAAAAUUAAUCUCGCUAUAUGCAAUUUCUUUUAAAAAUGUACAAUUUUGUGAACACUUUUGGGAAAUCAUAGAUCCUAAUAUUUGUUCUGGGCUUCUGUUGCUCAUAGCAACCAAAUUUAAUCCUGCUAUGAAACAGAGUAACAAGUCUGUUGUAUAUUAAAGAACUACUCAACUUCAAGCUCCAAAUAUAGGCUUUGGCAGUUAAAUAUAGGUACUGUUUGAACUUUCAUAUUUUCUAGUUUUGAAGGGAGAGUAAAGGUCCUUAAGAAAUUUUUUCAAAUAGCGAGCAAUCCUUAACCUGAAUGCACUCAAAUCAUUCACAUGUAGAAAAAAAAAGGGGGGGGAAAUAACUUAGUCUUUUCUCAUACUCUCCACUGGUAAUAAUCAACCUAAAAUACCUCUUAGAAACCAUGUGUUGCUCUUCUGAAAAAUCACAACUAGAGUAAAAUGCAGUCUGAAAUGGAGCCAAGCAAAAGAGUGGGGAAGGAUUAUGCUUUUGACAAGUGAAAGUUCAUAAACUCCAGUUUUCAGAACCCUGGACUUACACUGUACCAAAAGUUGCUGAUGCUGACGACUCAAUGUCUACAGAUCUGACUCAGAGAAAUAUGCCACUUACUGAAAUACUAACAGCACCUCUGGCUUUGAGAUGGGGCAGUUACUUCUUCAUCCAAAGACUGACAGCCCAACCAGAGCAAUUUGAAAGAGAGAGAAUUGCUGCUGAAAGUGCAAGGAAGCCAGCCACCCAAUCUGGAUGUGUCUCAAGCACUUCUUUUCUACCUCUAAUAAUGAUUCGUACAAGAAGAAAAGAUGAUCCAGAAUCUAGACACAUUCCUCCAGCUAAGCGACACAAAUCUCCUAAUUUGCACUUUCUUUCUGUCUCGUGGUAAGAACUCUUGAACUAGAAAAACAACAUGCGAAUCACCUAUUCCUACACCAA